CUGGCGGCAGGCCUAACACAUGCAAGUCGAACGGUAACAGGAAGCAGCUUGCUGCUUUGCUGACGAGUGGCGGACGGGUGAGUAAUGUCUGGGAAACUGCCUGAUGGAGGGGGAUAACUACUGGAAACGGUAGCUAAUACCGCAUAACGUCGCAAGACCAAAGAGGGGGACCUUCGGGCCUCUUGCCAUCGGAUGUGCCCAGAUGGGAUUAGCUAGUAGGUGGGGUAACGGCUCACCUAGGCGACGAUCCCUAGCUGGUCUGAGAGGAUGACCAGCCACACUGGAACUGAGACACGGUCCAGACUCCUACGGGAGGCAGCAGUGGGGAAUAUUGCACAAUGGGCGCAAGCCUGAUGCAGCCAUGCCGCGUGUAUGAAGAAGGCCUUUCGGGUUGUAAAGUACUUUGCAGCGGGGAGGAUGGCGAUAAGGUUAAUAACCUUGUCGAUUGACGUUACCCGCAGAAGA
rnacentral:rRNA from 1 species